rnacentral:antisense_RNA from 1 species
GUGUGCAGUCCCUCUGUCCGAUGAUUAGCCAGCCGACCUGGAGAGGGCCCUGGAAGGUCCCCAAAGGAGCAGAGAUGGGGAGCUGUAUCCGCGCAGAACCCCGGAAAAGCGCCAGCAGGAUUGCACCGAGAACAAAUCCUCCGCACCCUCGCCCAGGGCUGGGGCGCAGUGCGCUGUGCUCCUCUAGCUGGGCGGUCCCUGUGCUCCAGACAAGAAGAUAGCUGACUUCCGGAUCCUUCACUCUUUGAUCCUGACCCAAACCACCCGUGCCACCAGGAGCGCAUGCCUCUGGAAUACUCCCUCCUGGUCUCCUUGUGGUGAAGCCUUCCGCUAAUGCCCAGAGCCUCCCAGGCUGGAUUAGUGGGUAGGAGCAAAACAGGAUGGUGGAGACAAUCAGCAGAGCAGCAGCGUCUGUUUCCUCGGGAUUCCUCCCAGGAACCCUAUUCGAAGCCAUUCCUUCUAAAAGUUUGCAGCCAGUCUCUCUUUCCUUUGUUCGUUUUUAGAGGAGGCAGUAGAGCUACCUACAUACAAAAACCAAGGCCUGAUACUGGUAACCUAAGUCGUUACUUAACCAUCCUGUUCGGAGGCUUUGCACACAUUACUUUUCCUCUAUGCAUUGUCAUUUCUGAAAUAAGGAUGGUCAUACUGAUGUGCUUGGAAUUUCUCUGAAGUAUACUCCUAAAAGAUUAGAUUAAGAUUAGAUUCUGCUACUCUAAAAUGAAAAAAAUAUAUUUAUCUGUUAAAAAAGGUAAUACAUAUUCUCCAAGAUGUUAAUUAAAGUCUUCCCUCAAAUGGAUUGGAUUUUCAAUUCCUUCAGGAUUUUCCAUACCCUAAUAGUAUUGCAUUUGUAAGGCAUUUUUACAGUGUAA